rnacentral:misc_RNA from 1 species
GAUGAAGAACGCAGCGAAAUGCGAUAAGUAGUGUGAAUUGCAGAAUUCAGUGAAUCAUCGAAUCUUUGAACGCACAUUGCGCCCUUUGGUAUUCCAAAGGGCAUGCCUGUUCGAGCGUCAUUUGUACCCUCAAGCUUUGCUUGGUGUUGAGCGUCUUGUCUCUAGCUUUGCUGGAGACUCGCCUUAAAGUAAUUGGCAGCCGGCCUACUGGUUUCGGAGCGCAGCACAAGUCGCACUCUCUAUCAGCAAAGGUCUAGCAUCCAUUAAGCCUUUUUUUUCAACUUUUGACCUCGGAUCAGGUAGGGAUACCCGCUGAACUUAAGCAUAUCAAUAGCGGAGGA